AAACCAACAGGGAUUGCCCCAGUAACGGCGAGUGAAGCGGCAACAGCUCAAAUUUGAAAUCUGGCCCUCGGGUCCGAGUUGUAAUUUGUAGAGGACGCCUUUGGCGCGGUGCCUUCCGAGUUCCCUGGAACGGGACGCCUGAGAGGGUGAGAGCCCCGUACGGUUGGACACCAAGCCUCUGUAAGGCCCCUUCGACGAGUCGAGUAGUUUGGGAAUGCUGCUCUAAAUGGGAGGUAAAUUUCUUCUAAAGCUAAAUACUGGCCAGAGACCGAUAGCGCACAAGUAGAGUGAUCGAAAGAUGAAAAGCACUUUGAAAAGAGGGUUAAAUAGCACGUGAAAUUGUUGAAAGGGAAGCGUUUGCGACCAGACCUCUCCCCGGCGGGUCACCCGGUGUUCUUCACCGGGGCACUUCGCCGGGGCGGAGGCCAGCAUCGGUUUCCGCAGGGGGAUAAAAGCUCAGGGAACGUAGCUCCUUCGGGAGUGUUAUAGCCCUCCGCACAAUGCCCCUGCGGGGACCGAGGACCGCGCCUUCGGGCAAGGAUGCUGGCGUAAUGGUCGCCAACGAC
rnacentral:rRNA from 1 species